GCUUCAAUGGUGGUAGCUGUUUCCUCAAUGCUCGGAGGCAGCCCAAGUGCCGCUGCCAGCCCCGUUACACAGGCGAUAAGUGUGAGCUGGACCAGUGCUGGGAAUACUGUCACAACGGAGGCACCUGUGCAGCCUCCCCAUCUGGCAUGCCCACGUGCCGCUGUCCCACAGGCUUCACAGGCCCCAGAUGCACCCAGCAGGUGUGUGCAGGCUACUGUGCUAACAACAGCACCUGCACCGUCAACCAGGGUAACCAGCCCCAGUGCCGAUGUCUACCUGGCUUCCUGGGUGACCGUUGCCAGUACCGUGAGUAUUCACCCCAACCCCAGCGAAGGAAGAGGGGAGCAGGAACGCAAAGGGGCAGUUCGAGAGGAUGGAAGCCAUCUGCAGAUGAACCAAGCCCAGGCCUGUGGGUGCUGCCCCCCACAUUGGCACACCUUCCUGGUGUAGGGAGCCUCCAGGCGUCAGGAUCAUUCAACAAAAGGAAUGCCCUUUCUGAAUGCUUAGGGAACACCCUAGUGUCCUGGGGUCUGUGACAGGGCAUUAGGGGGCUCAGGAGGAGGUGGGAGUCAUCCACAGGUCCUGGACAGCCCUCGACCCUGCACAGUUGGAUCCUUAUGAAGGGGCGGGGCUUGAGGUACUUCCUCUCCACUCCCAACCACAGGGCAGUGCUCAGGCUUCUGUGAGAACUUUGGCACCUGUCAGAUGGCCGCCGAUGGCUCCCGACAAUGUCGAUGCACUGUCUACUUUGAGGGAACGAGGUGUGAGGUGAACAAGUGUAGUCGCUGUCUCCAGGGAGCCUGUGUGGUCAAUAAGCAGACGGGAGAUGUCACCUGCAACUGCACUGAUGGCCGGGUAGCUCCCAGUUGUCUGACCUGCAUCGACCACUGUAGCAAUGGUGGCUCCUGCACCAUGAACAGCAAGAUGAUGCCAGAGUGCCAGUGCCCACCCCAUAUGACAGGACCCCGGUGCGAGGAGCAGGUUGUCAGUCAGCAACAGCCUGGGCAUAUGACCUCCAUCCUGAUCC
rnacentral:lncRNA from 1 species